rnacentral:rRNA from 1 species
GACGAACGCUGGCGGCGUGCUUAACACAUGCAAGUCGAGCGGUAAGGCCCUUUCGGGGGUACACGAGCGGCGAACGGGUGAGUAACACGUGGGUGACCUGCCCUCAGCUCUGGGAUAAGCCUGGGAAACUGGGUCUAAUACCGGAUAUGACUCCAUGACGCAUGUUGUGGGGUGGAAAGCCUUGUGCGGCUGAGGAUGGGCCCGCGGCCUAUCAGCUUGUUGGGGGGUGAUGGCCUACCAAGGCGACGACGGGUAGCCGGCCUGAGAGGGCGACCGGCCACACUGGGACUGAGACACGGCCCAGACUCCUACGGGAGGCAGCAGUGGGGAAUCUUGCGCAAUGGGCGAAAGCCUGACGCAGCGACGCCGCGUGAGGGAUGACGGCCUGGUGU